UACUCUCACUUCUCAGCAUUUAAUAAGACAUAAAUGACAGAAGAUGAGAAAACCUAAAUUUUGCUCUCAGGGACUCUGAUAGGGUUUACAAAAUCUGAAGGUACUGCUGUGAGCCUAAUUAGCCCUGCCCACACCAUCUGUAGUGGAUGUUAGACAGGAAGGGUAGGACUCAAAAGAGGAGAAUGCAGUCAGUAGGAGGCUGGUUAGCAAGCAGUGAAGAGGAACAGCUUCCCUUGGGGAGAAAAGCAUGCUGGGUGAUGGGAAGAGAAGCAAAGGAAAAGAGCAGAAGGGGUGGAGAACAUUACAUGACACAUCCUCCACCUCAAGCAGCAUGCAGCCUUCUGGUGAGUGGGAAACAGGUAUAGGAGCCAAAAAAUAAGAGAGGAAAAAGCAGAAAGGAGAAAAAUAAAAGCAAAGAAGAAGGAACA
rnacentral:lncRNA from 1 species